GAGAACUUAAGCCAAGAAAAAAAAUCAACCCAAAAUAAAGAACCAGAAUUCCUUUUCGGACUGGCCAAAACAGAUCAGUCACCACUGAUAAGCCUUUAAGAACACGAGGCCUCACAAUGCUGCUGGGUGAAACCGCUCAGGUUGAAUAGCUAUGUGGAAAAUUCCUUCCAGUGAUCCUUACAAUGCAAUCCUAAAUGUUUAAAACAGUCUACUAAAAGACCUAAGCAGAGUGGUCUUAAAGAGAUGAUCUUUUCCAUAUAUUCACCAGUAGCAACUCUCACCUGUUAAGAAAAGGAUCUGAGCUAUUGGUCGUCAUUGUUCUCAAUUCCUGAGACAUCCCGGGAGAAGAUACUGGAUUUUGAGUCCCGCCAUCCUGCUCCAGCGUUGGCAACUGGCUACGGAGAGCUAAUUCCUAAAACAAACAAAACAGAAUCAAUCUGAUUAACAAAUUUAUUGUUAAGUUUCAAGAAAUAAAAUGCAGAUUAAAGCA